UAAAAAUGUAGGCUAUAAGCAUAUGAUCCGAAUAUUUUACAGGCCUAUAUGCUAUAUAGUGGUGGAUGGCAUCCAUUUUUAAUUUUAAGCAAUAUUAGAAACUUACGUUGAAUGCCAUAUCCGCUUUGCCUCAAACACCAGAAAGCAUUCUCGUCUCCAUUCCUCUUCUGUUUUCAAAUAAACACGGAUAGUCUAUUAGAUGACGGAUAAAAAAAUGCAAGAAUGUGAAUUCCACGAUUUCAAAAUCAUGCCGUUAUCAACCAGUGAAAAACGUAUUAUUCACUCAAUUUCUGCACCUCCGUUACUUUCGUUAGAGCAGAACAGCUCAGCGUCAAGGAAGCAACGAAGGAAAUCUGCCAUUUGUAGCCUACCGUCCGCUCUCUGUGCGGAGUGAACCGAACAACCCCAGGCGUGAACCAGAAAAUGUGAAGCACGGAAAACUUAUUUCACUCGUUCUGGAGAAGACAUACGGAAAGAGAAACGUCUGUGCUGUCUGCCGUAUUCAUCACCAGGACUUUUUGUUUUUAUUUGGGAAGAAAGAAUCUGGCAGAAAAACAAUGGUUGACCCCCCAGGAAGUUUCUGUAUAACUUAUGGACAGCAACAAAUGUUUUUUUUUUUCAGUUCAUAAAUUAUUGCCUUCAUUCUGAUUUUAGCUGGUACCAGGUAUAUUCAUCUUUCAGAUACAAUUUGAUGAAAAAGAAAAAAA